AAACGCCUGUACUCCCAGCACUUUGGAAGGCUGAGGCAGAAGGAUUGCUUGAGUCAUGGACAACAUAGUGAGGCCUUGUCCCUACAAAAAAUGAACAGAACUAGCCAGGGGUGGUGGCGCAUCCUUGUGGUCCCAGCUACUCAGGAGGCUGAGGGAGGAUCGCUGGAGCUUGAGAGGUUGAGGCAGCUGUGAGCCAUGUUCAUGCCACUGUACUCUAUCCUGGUUGACAAAGUGAGACCCUGUAUCAAAAAAAGAAAAAGCAUAAAUAAAUAAAUCAAGAUCUGGCCAGGUGAAGUGGCUUGCACCUGUAAUCCAAGCACUUUGGGAGGAUGAGGCAGGCUGAUCACCUGAGCUCAGGAAUUCGAGACCAGCAUGACCAACAUGGCGAAACGCUG
rnacentral:lncRNA from 1 species